GAUCAAUCGUAAUCGAGCCGCAUCGCGCGUCUAACGCGAGGCACAGAGUUCAGCCGCAAGGUGACAGUAGCUAUUGCUGCCCAUCUAGGCAACCGGCCGUUUAACCGAGUGCACGUAUUUACAUCCGGUCCGGCAGGAGGUACACACUCGUGAGCGCAGGUUAACUAACACCACACGAGUGAUCGAGAGAACACAGCGAACUUACCGAAAAGGGAAGGUAUAAAAGCGCGUUGAUAACGAGGUGACCAAUCGCUGCACGAAAGCAGCUGAUACAGCGAGCACUUGGGCCAGCAGCAUCGGAAAAACACGCAAACGUUCACGAACUUCUUCGAAAUACUGUUUGCAAUAUUUUGAUAGAAGACACACACUAUCGCACACGAAUGAUGUAAACUUCUUGCCACACUCAUAUUACAACUCUGCGCCAAAGAACGACGAUGACGGAAAUGUUCGGCUCGACUGGUUCCGUCCUGUUGACAAACUGUUUGCUUACCACUGCCUCCCUUGGCCAGAACUUCUCAUUUCCAUACCCGUUCAUCCAUAUGCAUCCGAGCAUCGGCGCUGCCGGCCAUGCGUUCAUGCGUUUCCAGCUGUGGAGGCUUCCAGUGAUCGAACAAAAAACAAAUCAACAACAACGUUCGUAUGCAGAAAUAGGAAGUAGGAAGAGAUUUACUGGCAACAUUUUUACCAGCGUCGACAAAUCGUCCACAUCCAUUUACAGAUCAGACGACAGUUUUUAAAAGCUUCCGUUAUAUGCACGUGUGCGAUGUGUGUGUAAAUUGUUAUUCUGUUGAUGAUAUCACAUCAACCCGAGAUAAUUGCAAAUGACGAAAGGUCAAUUGUCAAAAGCACAAUUAAGAAAUGCAUUUCGACGAGUGCAAGUGUUUCGGGUGAGUUCCAUUACACAAACGUUGUGCGUUAUGUGACAUUCGUACCCGAGCUUGGUACAUUGUUUGUGCAUUUAUGGGAAACAAUAAAUGUAGCUAAAGAAGGCAGCAAAUAUAUUUAAUUUCUU